rnacentral:rRNA from 1 species
GACGAACGCUGGCGGCGUGCUUAACACAUGCAAGUCGAACGGUGAAGCGCCUUCCUUUUUGGUGGGUGUGGAUGAGUGGCGAACGGGUGAGUAACACGUGAGUAACCUGCCCCCUUCUUCUGGAUAACCGCAUGAAAGUGUGGCUAAUACGGGAUAUUCUGGGUCUGUCGCAUGAUGGGUCUGGGAAAGAUAUUGUUUCGGUGGGGGAUGGGCUCGCGGCCUAUCGGCUUGUUGGUGGGGUGAUGGCCUACCAAGGCGGUGACGGGUAGCCGGCCUGAGAGGGUGGACGGUCACACUGGGACUGAGACACGGCCCAGACUCCUACGGGAGGCAGCAGUGGGGAAUAUUGCACAAUGGGCGAAAGCCUGAUGCAGCGACGCCGCGUGAGGGAUGGAGGCCUUCGGGUUGUGAACCUCUUUCGCCAGUGAAGCAGGCCUGCCUCGUUUGUGGGUGGGUUGACGGUAGCCGGAUAAGAAGCGCCGGCUAACUACGUG